rnacentral:rRNA from 1 species
UUGACAUACUAAGAACUUUCCAGAGAUGGAUUGGUGCCUUCGGGAACUUAGAUACAGGUGCUGCAUGGCUGUCGUCAGCUCGUGUCGUGAGAUGUUGGGUUAAGUCCCGCAACGAGCGCAACCUUUUCCUUAUUUGCCAGCGGGUCAUGCCGGGAACUUUAAGGAUACUGCCAGUGACAAACUGGAGGAAGGCGGGGACGACGUCAAGUCAUCAUGGCCCUUACGGCCAGGGCUACACACGUGCUACAAUGGUCGGUACAAAGGGUUGCUACCUCGCGAGAGGAUGCUAAUCUCAAAAAGCCGAUCGUAGUCCGGAUCGCAGUCUGCAACUCGACUGCGUGAAGUCGGAAUCGCUAGUAAUCGCGGAUCAGAAUGCCGCGGUGAAUACGUUCCCGGGCCUUGUACACACCGCCCGUCACACCAUGGGAGUUUGUUGCACCAGAAGUAGGUAGUCUAACCGCAAGGAGGACGCUUACCACGGUGUGGCCGAUGACUGGAGUGAAGUCGUAACAAGGUAAGCGUAGAUGA